ACAAGUUUGAAAUCAACUCACUGAUUUCUAAACACCCUUAUUUCCCCUGAGUAGCGUAAAGAAUUGCUGUGUGUAGUCUUUGCCCAUCCCCUGUGAUGGGCUUUUUUUUUG
rnacentral:other from 1 species